AACGCUCGGUCCUUACCUGGAAGCGUCGCACGUGCUCCUUAUCAGUUUAAUAUCUGAUAUGAUUUCUAUUUGAGAUCUUUAUUUUAAAUGGAUUUUUGGAGCAGGGGGUCGGAACAGGAGCUUGUUCCGUCCACUCCACGUAUCGACCUGGUAUUGCAGUACUUCCAGGAGCGGUGCACCUCCA
ensembl:snRNA U2 U2 spliceosomal RNA